CAGUAGCCGCGGGAAUACGAAGGGGGCUAGCGUUGCUCGGAAUGACUGGGCGUAAAGGGCGCGUAGGCGGUCACGAUAGUCAGAUGUGAAAGCCACCGGCUCAACCGGGGAGGGUCAUUGGAAACUGGGAAACUUGAGUGCAGAAGAGGAGAGUGGAAUUCCACGUGUAGCGGUGAAAUGCGUAGAGAUGUGGAGGAACACCAGUGGCGAAGGCGACUCUCUGGUCUGUAACUGACGCUGAGGAGCGAAAGCGUGGGGAGCGAACAGGAUUAGAGACCCCUGUAGUCCCUGUCUCUUAUAC
rnacentral:rRNA from 1 species